UUGCUAUUGGAGUCCGAUUUAGCCAUGCUAGUCGCGCGGGUUUAGACCCGCGGCAUAUAGCUCAGUAACACGUGGCCAAACUACCCUAUGGACAGGGACAACCUCGGGAAACUGAGGCUAAUCCCUGAUACAGCUCUCAUGCUGGAGUGCCGAGAGCUGGAAACGCCCCGGCGCCAUAGGAUGUGGCUGCGGCCGAUUAGGUAGAUGGUGGGGUAACGGCCCACCAUGCCAAUAAUCGGUACAGGUUGUGAGAGCAAGAGCCUGGAGACGGUAUCUGAGACAAGAUACCGGGCCCUACGGGGCGCAGCAGGCGCGAAACCUUUACACUGCACGACAGUGCGAUAAGGGGACUCCGAGUGCGAGGGCAUAUAGUCCUCGCUUUUCUGUACCGUAGGGAGGUACAGGAACAAGUGCUGGGCAAGACCGGUGCCAGCCGCCGCGGU
rnacentral:rRNA from 1 species